AGUGAACGUUGGCGGCGUGGAUUAGGCAUGCGAGUCGAGCGAGAACCGUAGCAAUACGGGGACAGCGGCGAAAGGGACAGUAAUAUGUAGGUACCUACCCUCGGGUCCGGGAUAGCUGCGGGAAACUGCAGGUAAUACCGGAUGACAUCUCCGGAUCAAAGGUGUGAUUCCGCCCGGGGAGGGGCCUGCAUCCUAUUAGCUUGUUGGUGGGGUAACGGCCUACCAAGGCGACGAUGGGUAGCGGGUGUGAGAGCAUGACCCGCGUCAUUGGGACUGAGACACUGCCCAGACACCUACGGGUGGCUGCAGUCGGGAAUCUUCGGCAAUGGGGGCAACCCUGACCGAGCGACGCCGCGUGCGGGAUGAAGGCCUUCGGGUUGUAAACCGCUGUCGUAGAGGAGGAAAUGCAGGGGGGUUCUCCCCUCUGUUUGACCUAUUCUAGGAGGAAGGACGGGCUAACUUCGUGCCAGCCGCCGCAGUAA
rnacentral:rRNA from 1 species